rnacentral:rRNA from 1 species
UCCUGGCUCAGGAUGAACGCUAGCGACAGGCUAACACAUGCAAGUCGAGGGGCAUCACGGGAGUAGCAAUACAACUGGUGGCGACCGGCGCACGGGUGAGUAACGCGUAUGCAACCUACCUAUCAGAGGGGAAUAACCCGGCGAAAGUCGGACUAAUACCGCAUAAAACAGGGGCACCGCAUGGUGAUAUUUGUUAAAGAAAUUCGCUGAUAGAUGGGCAUGCGUUCCAUUAGGUAGUUGGUGAGGUAACGGCUCACCAAGCCGACGAUGGAUAGGGAACUGAGAGGUUGGUCCCCCACACUGGUACUGAGACACGGACCAGACUCCUACGGGAGGCAGCAGUGAGGAAUAUUGGUCAAUGGGCGGGAGCCUGAACCAGCCAAGUCGCGUGAAGGAAGAAGGAUCUAUGGUUCGUAAACUUCUUUUGCAGGGGAAUAAAGUGCAGGACGUGUCCUGUUUUGUAUGUACCCUGAGAAUAAGGAUCGGCUAACUCCGUGCCAGCAGCGGC